UCAACCCACUUCCUUCCAAGCUUUGAGUAUUUAAACGUGCUGUCAAUAACCACCCUACAUUUCUGCAGAAGCCGUCCUCAGAUCUCAGAAAACCAGUGCACAAGGAACGAAACAUGACUGGGAAUACUGUUGUAACCACUGCACCUACAUACCUGGCUUGGUCCAUCUUAAACACAUUAUUCUGCUGUUUACCUCUUGGAAUCGUCGCAAUUGUGUUUUCCUGCCGAGUUGACACGGCUAACACUAUGGGUGAUGGCACGAGAGCUCAACAGCAUUCCAAAAUGGCUAGGAACCUGAAUAUCCUCGCACUAGUGAUUGGAAUUGUUUUUAUAAUCCUUUACAUCAUCGUAACUAUUAGUCAGAAACAGAAAUAAACACAUAUUAAAAGGCAGCAAUGCUAAAGUUGCAAAAUGUUACAUUGACAAAUGUCUCAUAGCAACUGAAUUAUUAUUUCUGUUCUGAUUAAAAAAAUUUGAAUCUGAAAUCAUUUCACGACCAAAGAAUCGGUUUCAAGCAUAGAGAAAGUCUGUAGACAUACAUUGUAUUAACCUCGGUAUACAUGGAUAUUUUUUUUUUUAUAAAAUUCUUUGUUAACUAAAUAAAACAUUUCUUUGCA